rnacentral:lncRNA from 1 species
GAUUUGUUUCGAAGAAGAAUUGUUUUUACAUUUGAAAUCAGAGUCGCCACUUGACAUAAUCUGGUGUGCCAAGUCACCAUUGAAAAAUUCUUUACAAAACCAUUUGACUCUUUAAACUGGUUUGCGAACAGAGAUUCCAGCUAAGGAAUUCUGUUGACUGAGGGGAAGGUGUUAGGCACCCCUCGAUCCCGUGGUUCGACCACAGUCGCUUGGUGAAACAUAUCAGCUAAUUCGACACUAAGAGUGUAUAAACCAUACAAAACCAAUCAAUCAAACAAACAAACAAAUCCAAAAUUAUAGUGUUCAGUCUAAUUAUUACAAUCCAAAAAUAGAAAAUGCGAAAAAUAUAAAUCCUAUUCUAAGCUAGUCCUAGACUAAGCUCCAAUGCUUCACCCGAUGCCUUGAGCCUUGAUCACGAACCUCCUUCGAAGACAUAAUGCAUUGGGGCAUUCCCCGGUGAAUAAAUACAUGAAACCUCGGGCAUUCCCCGGCCAAACGAAUACACUCGAAUCAAAUACGAUAAACUAGGAAGAAAUAUUCGCACGCAUAUUCAAACAUUCAACUAAAACACAAGUUCUAAAUUUGCUUACCCGAACCUACAUUUGCCUAUCCGACUAUCAUGAUACUAUCGUGUUCAACAACAUCAAUGAAACAAAAUUAUCUAAAUUUACUUUUACCAAGACCAAUUCCUUCCCGCAUUCAUUCACAAAAUAAUUAAUCAAUGCUUCGACUUUCAAGUUUCCACAUUCAAAUUCAACAUCAACCAACCUAUAACAAAGAUUCAAAUAUGCUCAAACAAUAAAUCAUUUUCAAUUAAUUAACCAACUUCAACGUAGAAUCACCCAAAAUAAUUAGACUUGCUCAACCGCAUAAUCAAGAUCAUAUCAUCAACCAAAGCAUUCCAUCUAUAACAUCGGAUAUCGUAAAUAAAGAAAUCAAAUAGUAGAGGUUAGAAAUGGACCUGAUUCAAAAUUUUCGGAGAAUGUUAUAAGAAAAUACACUUCCGCGAACCUCAACUUGAGCCACGACAACGACAAAUCCAACUCAAAUUAAAUCCUCAACUUACAAACCUAAAAUUACAGAUUUCGACUUAACCAUCUAUAUAUCUCGGCAUACCCGGAACUGAAUUUGUUGUUUCCAUCUCGCCGGAGCUCCGGCGAGGUCAAAUAAAGACAAAAAGAGGAGGGUUGUUAAGUUUCGAUCAGAGUUUUAGGUAUUCUUGCUGGUUUCGGCGUUUUUGGCUGUUGAGUAGUGGUGGGUUGGUGUUUUUCGAUCGCCAAUUUCACAUUUUUUCGCUGACUAUUGACGUUUUUUGACGACACGGUCGCCAUAGCAGUGACCAAACACCACCUCUACCUUUCCUUCGAUUCUCACCUUUAUCUCUCUCUAUCUCUCUUGAUCUCUCUCUAUGUAUUCGAGAAUCUGUUCGUGUGUGUGAUACUCAGUGAUGGUAUGUGAGUGUGUUCUAUGGAGAAAAAUAAAAGCUAAUCCAAAAAUUCCCCCACUGACCGUGUAUCUAUGUUGCUGUGUAUAUACUCCUUUUUAAUGAAAAAAAUGCGUCCCUCUGCGAUGAAUAUUGUGAGGAUAAAAAAAUGUGAGUGGGUAGGGAGGUGUAAGCUUUUGAUUGGGUAGGUUGUUAGGAUAAGAUAAAUUAGUUAGAGGUAUUUUUUUUUAUUUUUUUUUGUAUUUUUGUGGGAUAUAAUUACAUGGGGUUGGACACAUGGUAAGGUGAACUAAAAAUGAAUAAAAUUAGNNNNNNNNNNNNNNNNNNNNNNNNNNNNNNNNNNNNNNNNNNNNNNNNNNNNNNNNNNNNNNNNNNNNNNNNNNNNNNNNNNNNNNNNNNNNNNNNNNNUAUCUACAUCAUGCCCCCUUUGAAUGUAAACACGAAGUGUUUUUAGACAAAGAAGUAGACAGCGAGACCAAAUUUUGACCCGACCAUUAUUCGAAGAAAGAAACAGAAGGAAGAAGGACAACCGGGUCUUGACUUAAGACAUCCUACCUACCUAAGUUAUGAGAGACUCAAGUCACGGGUAUUUCAAGGAUUGGAAAGAGAAGGACUAUGCCGAGUUGGAGAGUCGAGUGAGGCUCCAUCAAGGUUCCGGUCCACGGCUCUGUCAUUACAUUAAAAUGAAAAUUACAAGUUAAAGCAUAAAUGAAAUUACAAAAAUCCUAUCUAUACAACUUCUUUUGGACUCUUGACUUGAGUUUCAUCACCCUAUUCUUCUGGCGGGCUCCUGACUUGCUAUUUCUUUAACCUGUCGCUUGCCUUUCAAUUUCUUCACCCUGUUCUCCAGGGGGGUUCCUGACUUGCUAUUUCAUCAACUUAUUGCCAUGCUUUCAACUUCUGCACCCUGUUCUUCAGGUGGGCUCGUAACUUGCUAUUUCUUUAACGUGUCGCUUGCCUUUCAAUUUCUUCACCCUGUUCUCCUGGAUUUCUGACUUGCUAUUUCGUCAACUUGUUGCCAUGCUUUCAACUUCUGCACCCUAAUCUGUAGGCGGGCUCCUGACUUGCUAUUUUUAUCAACUUGUUGCUAUGCUUUCAAUUUCUUUACCCUGUUCUGCAGGCGGGCUCCUGACUUGCUAUUUCAUCAACUUGUUGCUAUGCUUUCAAUUUCUUCACCCUGUUCUACAGGCGGGCUCCUGACUUGCUAUUUCAUCAACUUGUUGCUAUGCUUUCAAUUUCUUNNNNNNNNNNNNNNNNNNNNNNNNNNNNNNNNNNNNNNNNNNNNNNNNNNNNNNNNNNNNNNNNNNNNNNNNNNNNNNNNNNNNNNNNNNNNNNNNNNNNNNNNNNNNNNNNNNNNNNNNNNNNNNNNNNNNNNNNNNNNNNNNNNNNNNNNNNNNNNNNNNNNNNNNNNNNNNNNNNNNNNNNNNNNNNNNNNNNNNNNNNNNNNNNNNNNNNNNNNNNNNNNNNNUCUUAUAGGAAUCAAAGGGGAUGACUCGACUAAAAGGUACGUCUUAUAAGAAUCAGAGGGGAUGACUUGACUAAAAGGUACGUCUUAUAGGAAUCAAUAGGAAUGACGCAACUAAAAGGUACAUCUUAUAGGAAUCAAAGAAGAUGACUCGACUAAAAGGUACGUCUUAUAGGAAUCAAAGGGGAUGACUCGACUAAAAGGUACGUCUUCUAGGAAUCAAGACUUAAGUUAGGAAGUACAUUAACUAAGAAGCAAAAUUCGAAUUACCCAAUCAAGGAAGUGUGUUUCCUUAUCAAUGAUUUUUGAAUUAUCAAAACAAGGAACUGCGUCUCCUAGAGAUCUUGAAUUAUGAGUUUUACCAUGAUUUUGGUUACCAAACCUGUGCAGCAACCUUGCCUCUUGCAUUUGUUGAGGUGAGAAAUUACGGCCUUUGAUGUUUAGGCUCUGAAAUCCUUGAUCUGAAUGCAACAUGUAUUCCUAUUACAUACAAAGAAAACUUGUGAGUUUAAAAACAUAGUGGCUAGUUUGUGGUUUUGGCUUUUGAGGCAAUUGCUCCUGCCCCCGUCAUAUUUAGCUUUGCUUCCAACCAUUAGCAUAUGUCAUUGACUUGCUGUAUCAUUGACUCAAACUCAUCUUAUUAAGAGUGACUCUGAAACAAACACAGUAUUUCUGCUUUGUCGUGUUUCUCAAAUAAACCCUUUGAACCUUGGUAUUUCCAUGAGCUCCCUGACUUCUCUGUUGACAAAACUUCCUGCAUGCCCUUUUUUGGGCUUACAAUCAUGUCUCUUUUAUGUGCUAGCUUUUUUCUUGCUUUGUGCAAUUAAAGAAGCUGGUAGCCAGUUUUGAAAUCUUUUCUCACUUGUUUUGACACGGACUUGACUCAAAGACAAGAAACAAAAAAAAAGAAUGACAAUUUUUGUUUUGAUAACUGGCUUAAGAAAGAUAAAAAUUAAAAUAAAGAGAAGAAAGAAAAGACAAUGAAUGUCCCCUUUUAAAACAAAGAAACAAAAAAUUUAUCUAAAAAUGACAGUCAAUAUUAAUGAUUAUGCCAUGCAUUUUGGAUUAAGCAUCUUGAUAUUUUCAUCCAAACUUUCUACCCAUUGUUGUUGAGUUAAUGGCUUUGAAACUGAGUUGUUUUCUUAGGUCAAUUACAUUUAAGACCCCAUUCGGCUAGUGGCGCCUUGAAGGGGUUUCGUCAACAAGCUUCUUUCAUUUUCUCUCGGCUCACUAUCGCCUUAUGGUGCCCGUGAGGGUUUUCACCAAUAAAACUCUCUCAUUUUUAUAUCUCUCAACUUACCAUCGCCUUAUGGUGCCCGCAAGGGUUUUCACCAAGGAUGACACGGUGUUUGGUUAGCAUAAUGAAAUGCCUUUUUCAUAUCAAUUCUUGAAAAUGCUAGUACAUAGCAUGCAAUGUGAAAGUGCACAAUCAAGAUCACUUAUAAUGUUUUACAACACUAACUUGCCCCGAGCAUGUGUGCCACCUCUUUUUUUACACUUGCCCAGCAUACAACUCCACUUUGUUGUACAUUCCUCAUGUUGAAGGACUCAUGAUUUCGUGGAGCUAAUUUUCUUCCUGUUCCUCUUGAUAGGAUCAUAUAGACACUGUUUGACCUAAUUAAGACAUGUCUUUCAAUUGAUGACCAAGUUAUUCUCACGAUUUUCAAAUAAAUAGACUUAAUUUUCAAAGAAGGUUUCCACUUGAUCACCAAAUGCCCCAGCACUCUAUCUAUUUCCUCAGAUGCUCUCUUUUUCUAACUUUAACCCUCUGAUUCAAUUUUCAUUCUUAAACUGGAUGUUAAGAUCUAGCUGUAAAUUUCACUAGCAUAUCAUAUCACUAGAGUCAACAUAAAAUGUACUAUGUAAAAAAACAAACAAACAACACAUAUUUAAAACACAAAGAAAAAGGGAACACUCCAUUUAAUAAAAAUAAAAGAUAGAAGGGUUUGAACAUAAAUGACAAAGGGACAAAAUAAGAUAGAUCCCAAAAUACAAUCCUGAAAUAAUUCGAAAAACAAAAAAGAAGACAAAACAAACUACCAGACCUCUUUCUAGUAGGGAGAGGAGUGACUUUUCAAUUGCUCAGCCUGACAUAUUAGCCACUGGUUUGCAUAUCAACAUGACUGGAGCUUCCAUCACUGUCAGACACAUUUCUUUCAACAAAUAAGCUCUGGAUCCCCAUGCUUAACUCGUUGCCUCCCACAUAUUGUGCAGUACCGCGUGCUGGUAAAGAACUCUGUGGUAUGGUCGAAGGGCCAAUGUUUUGCACCACAAUCAAUUUAUCUUGAAUUAUCUUUUCUAUUUCUCUUUUCAAAGUGCGACAAUCUUCAGUACUAUGACCCUGAACAUCAGAAUGAUAUGCACAUCGCACAUUAGGAUCAAAGCUUCUUGACUGCGGGUCAGGAGUAUACCUAAGGAGAGGAGUGAUCAUGCCCUGCUGUACCAAUUUCUAGAAUAAACUGGCAUAAGAUUCCCCAAUAGGAGUGAAAUUAUCUUUUUCCUUCCUCCUCUUUCCAAACUCUGGCCUCGGAUGAAAUUUGGAUUUAGAGGUCCCUUGGUAAAUUUGUGGGGGUCGAGGACAAUGUUGAGGGACAGGUGCAUGCCAUUGUGGAUAAGAAGAUGGAUGAGCAUACAAUUGUGCAUUAUUCACAGGAUAUCNNNNNNNNNNNNNNNNNNNNNNNNNNNNNNNNNNNNNNNNNNNNCAAGUGGUUAUGUGGAUCUGAUAUGUAAGCUCGGGAUUGAGGCUGACAGUAUUGGUGGGUUGGACCUCUCAAACUCUGCUUUGGCCCUGUUAUGACAAUAGGUGCGUUUUCCUUCUUCUUUCCUUUAGUUUUCCUUGGUUGAUUGCAAUGUCGUCCCGAAUGUUUUACAGAAUCCUUCUAUCUAUCAGGCUCCCAAAAUUUUAAUGUCUCAAAGCUGGGAGGAAGUUAAACACUUAAAGACAUGCCCCAGUUUUUAUAUGAAACAUCUUCAUAGUCCAUAAGUCCAGGAGAAUUUUUCAUAUCAUUUUCUACACUCUUCACUUUCCCAACCAUUUUCUCUGGCUCUUUUGGCAUGCUAGGCUUCUUAGUAAGAAAUUUUGGCAGUUCACUUAACUUAACUGUAGGCUCAAGAGUAUACCAAUGAUCAUCAAUAGUAUUGAACGUGGAGUCACUAGUGGACUGGGGAAGCACAAUCGUUAGAUUGAUAGACAAAGUGGAAGCCUUAGUAGAAGGUUGACCAACAAAAGCACAGACGGUAUGUGGUGCUGUGAAUGUGGUAGACUUAUACUGAGGAGAUAAAGAAAGAGUGGUGGAAGUGUUGAGGUGCAUCUGGCGUGGAAUGGAUUCUGAGGCAUGCUGUAGUUCAUCAACAACAGUAGGAAACUGACUUUCCGAUUUUGCUGGAAGACUCAAGGUAUUUGUAGGGUCAAAAGUGGGGAACGAAGGUGGAGGCAGCCCACUACCCCAAGCUCGGUACAUUCCCAUCAUUUGUUGUCUCAGUCUCAAAUUCUCUUUCUUUAAACUCUCAAUUUCCUGACUCUUUGUUUCAUCCAUGAUGCCACUCUCUAUAUCCUUGUUAAACAUAACUAACCCUUCCUUGGAUUUGGUGUGAUAUGGAGGACCAGCCAAGAAACCACAAACCAACCACCUUAAACUAACUGAACAAGAGGCAACAAAUAUGUUAGAGUUCAACAUUUUUCAAAACCUCUUUUUUUUCUUGAAAAAAAUCACCGAACCCUAGAAGGGCGCCUACGUAUCUCACCCCCGACAGGGGAGAAUCAGGCGUGCGUACUUCAUGAAGUCUUGCCCAAAAUGGCAAAUUAAACUCUUUUUUCAUUUUUUUGCUUGAAACUUUAAGAAGAAAAGAAAAUAACAAUUUGUCAAAAGAAUUGACGAACAUCUUUUUGCAUUUUUUACUUUUAAAAUACCUGUACAAAACGAAACCUAUGAUUACCAAAGAAAAAUCUUUUGGGGUUUUUCAAUUUUGAAUUUCAUAUGAAAAUGAAACUUGAACCUAUUAAAGAAAAAUCUUUUUGUAGUUUUCUUUUAAAGAUGUAUAUGAAACGCCUACUCUAAAUGAAGAGUGAAGAAAAUCUUUUUGAAUUUUUGAAAUAAGAUCAACCAAAAAUGAAACCUACGACUAUUGAGAAAUUUUUUUUUUUGUAUUUUUCUUUUCAAUACAUGUAUGAAACACCUACUCUAAAUGAAGAGUGAAAAAAAAAUCCUUUUAAUUUUUUUUUUUAAAUAAGAUCCCCGAACCAACAAAAGGCUGUCUACGUAUCUCACAUCCCGAAAGAGGAGAAUCAGGGGUGCGUAGUUCGUCCAGAUUGGACAAUUAAUGAUUAAAUAACAGGCUAGACCCUAACUUAAGAGAUACGACCAAAGAAAGACGAUGAACCAUGUUAAUAAAAUCUUUUGAGUUUUCAUUUUGAUAUUUCACAGAAAAAUGACAUCAACAACUAUGAAAGAAAUUUUUUUUGGUAUUUUCGUUAUACGAAAUGUAAAAAAAUUCUAACAUCUUCUUUUUUUUUUUUUGCAUUUUUCUUUUAUAAACACAUCCUAUGAAUGAAAAAAAUCUUUUUGAAGUUUUCGAAUUAUGAAUGCAUGCUAAACGAGACAAAGGAAAAUCUUUUUGAUGUUUUUGAGAAAAUAAGUGCGGGAGGUAAAAAAGUCCUUUUGAAUUUUGGAAUUUUGAAAAAUAAAAGCCAUAAAAAACUCUAAAAACUAUGAAACUCUGUUUUUUUUGCUUGUUUUUUUCAUUACCCACGCACUUUACUUCUAACACAUGUUUUUCCCAAAUCAGUCCGUCAAAUGACCACGUUAUCCUCAAAGAUGUAACAUUUAGCACAUAGGGAUGCUUUAGAGGUGAGUCUCCUACAAAGGACCAAGUGGUCCCCACUAUAUCUCAAUAUGAUACACAUAAGCGUGACCUAAAGGCUGACGUACGUUGGGGUUCACUAACAAGGGUGUUCGGGGGAGCAUAUAGUCGAUAGUGGCUGCUUUGCUUUCCACCUACUCCAUAACACCGACGGCUCCCCCUAAAAAUAAGGGUGACUCAACUAGAGGUCGUGUACAACACGUGUACUAUGGACUUGUUGCAGAAAGAAGACCUGGGCGUAGACACAUGAUGCUAGAUAUAAAAACGGUAAUAUAUAGGAUAAAUACUGUACACAAAGAGCAUGAAAACGCACAACAGUGAUAACAAUAACACAAACAUUAAUCAUAAACAAUGUUUAUACACCCAUAAUGCCAAACAAAGCCGAUACGACUCCAAAAAUAAGCUCGAAUUCUGAAAAGAUCCCCAGCAAAGUCGCCAGAGCUGUCACACCCCUUUUUUCAACAUCCAAAAAAGAUUCGGUUUUGGGUUUGAAAGGGUUUUUAUUAUUAAGUGACAAAAGAAAAUGAUUUGUUUUGAAAAAGGAUUGUUUUUACAUUUGAAAUCAGAGUCGCCACUUGGCAUAAUCAGGUGUGCCAAGUCACCAUUGAAAAAUCCUUUUCAAAACCAUUUGACUCUUUAAACUGGUUUGCGAACAGAGAUUCCAGCUAAGGAAUUCUGUUGACCGAGGGGAAGGUGUUAGGCACCCCUCGAUCCCGUGGUUCGACCACGGUCGCUUGGUGGAACAUAUUGGCUAAUUUGACACUAAGAGUGUAUAAACCACACAAAAA